rnacentral:rRNA from 1 species
GCAGCAGUGAGGGAUUUUCGGCAAUGGGCGAAAGCCUGACCGAGCGACGCCGCGUGAGCGAAGAAGGCCUUCGGGUCGUAAAGCUCUGUCUAGGGGGAAGAGGAAGGACGGUACCCCUGGAGGAAGCCACGGCUAACUACGUGCCAGCAGCCGCGGUAAUACGUAGGUGGCGAGCGUUGUCCGGAAUUACUGGGCGUAAAGGGCGCGCAGGCGGUCUGUUAAGUCCGGGGUGAAAUCCUUCGGCUCAACUGGAGGGGGACCCUGGAUACUGGCAGGCUGGAGUGCGGGAGAGGGAAGCGGAAUUCCACGUGUAACGGUGAAAUGUAUAGAUAUGUGGAGGAACACCGGUGGCGAAGGCGGCUUCCUGGACCGUAACUGACGCUGAGGCGCGAAAGCUGGGGGAGCGAACAGGAUUAGAUACCCUGGUAGUCCCAGCCGUAAACUAUGAACACUAGGUGUGGGGGGUAUCGACCCCUUCCGUGCCGCAGCCAACGCAAUAA